UACGUGAGGUGCAAGCGUUGUCCGGAAUUAUUGGGCGUAAAGAGCUCGUAGGCGGUCUGUCGCGUCGGAUGUGAAAACCCAGGGCUCAACCCUGGGCCUGCAUUCGAUACGGGCAGACUAGAGUUCGGUAGGGGAGACUGGAAUUCCCGGUGUAGCGGUGAAAUGCGCAGAUAUCGGGAAGAACACCCGUGGCGAAGGCGGCUCUCUGGGACGGUACUGACGCUGAGACGCGAAAGCGUGGGGAGCGAACAGG
rnacentral:rRNA from 1 species